rnacentral:lncRNA from 1 species
AUAGAAACUAAUAGAAGAGCUGGUUGUACAAAUAGUUCAGGAUCUGGUCACAAACAUACACUGAGCUGCUGGUCCUCCUGGGGUGAAAUUCAGCUUGAACAGAGACAAGAAUUUCACCUUUUUAGCUCAAAAGAAGAGAACUUCAACUUAUACAGAAGACCACUAGCUACACAAGGAUGGCAUUUGCUUAUGAAAAAAUUGCAAAUGAGUAGAUACCUGAGAUGCAGCUCGAUUAACAUAUGUUCAGUGCAAGUUUGUAAAUAUGGAAGAUAUCAGAGAAACGAAAAACUCAGAAACCUUGAUCAAGGCAUCAAGACAACGGGACACAUCAUUUUGACACAGGAAUUUUUAUAGAUCGCAUGGGACUGGCAGUACUCCAGAAUUAGUUCCAGGCUGAAAUGUAAUUCCAUUCUAUAUCUUCCUUCGUGUUAGAAACCUGAGUACCGAGUGGUUAUUGCACUGAACUAUAUUACGUGCACUAUUUAAGCACACUGAGUACAGUACAUGAUUAUAGCUCUAUUUUUAAGUACACUCCUCUUUAAUGUGUUUUUACUUAGAAUGAAUCUGUAGGUUAACAUUGGACUCAACCAGUAUACACAGUGCACACGGUUCUAGAGGGAAGUUACAUUACCUGCCAGUGCUGAGCAUAAUGAAGAGGGGAAGUGCUCUACAACUGUAUGAAAAGAAUGUAUGAUCAGUCAUGAUACUUUUGCUUCUUUGCCCAUUGCAGCUGCUGCAAUUAUUCCAAGAAACUAAGCACUCAGUGCAGAAAAGGUGGUGGCUGAAGUUCUCCACCUGUUUCUAUAGAUACACAGCUUUCUGGCAGCUUAGCAAAAUUCUCCAUACAAGCAAUUGAACUACCAGAGCUAGUGUGCUAGAUGGAUAGGAGAAGUUAUGUUUAAAUGCCUCUUUAGUGCUUAAGGAUGUCUCUAGGUGUCACUGGUAUUCCUUCCACCUACCUUCUCUCCCCCUGUGCUAAUUCCCUCCAGGUCAGUUUCUGCUAGUGAAAUUCCUAUGGGACCCAUUGGUCUGUUUUUUGAGUUUGUGUCACCUGCCUGAGUCCUGACCGCGAUAAGCCCUGGAUCUGUAGCCCACCGCUUAAAACUGAUAGAAAGGUGUUCUCACCCCCCUUCUUUCCUGUCACACUUAUGGUUAUUGCAAAAAGUGUGUGCAGAAAAUAUCUCAUGUUAUGCAAAAUUUUAUGAGAAAAAAGACCCGUUUUCUGAUAUUGAAUGAACCAUUCAUUAAGGUUCUUACCUUUCUG